rnacentral:rRNA from 1 species
UACGGGGGGAGCAAGCGUUGUUCGGAUUUACUGGGCGUAAAGGGCGCGUAGGCGGCCACCGCAAGUCAAUUGUGAAAUCUCCGGGCUUAACUCGGAAAGGUCAACUGAUACUGCGGGGCUAGAGUGCGGAAGGGGCAACUGGAAUUCUCGGUGUAGCGGUGAAAUGCGUAGAUAUCGAGAGGAACACCGGCGGCGAAGGCGGCUCUCUGGCCAUACAUUGACACUGAAGCACGAAAGCGUGGGGAGCAAACAGG